rnacentral:lncRNA from 1 species
ACAGGACUUGUGAUGUAGAUCGUCGUCAUUUUUGUUUCACAAACAAGGAAGGAGAAUCUCAGAGAUUCCGUAAACUCCAUAAAGCGGUGAUUCAUGACAGAAGCAGGGACGCAACUUCGACCAGUUUAAACUCUACUCUGGAACUAUUUAACGAGAAGGUGACAUUAGGAAAGAAAGAUUUCUUUUUUCUCCUGAUAAAGACAGAUAAGCUGGGAGCUAGUGAGAAGUCAGCUGGUUCAAGCCAUCUCUCGCCUCAAGAAUUCACCUUUCACAUGUUUCUGCACUGUUAUUCUAGUCCCUACGAGCGGCUGCACCCGUCUCCACCCUUAGCAGAGCAGACAGAGGGCACAGUAAGGAAAUGUCAAAAGGCAGAAACCGAAUGACCUACAGGGGUGUUUCUAUCAAUUUGGAGAUACUGGCUGGAGCCUGUAUGUAUGAGGCUCACGCUGGCUUGAGUUUUCCCAAAGCCAGUUCCACAGCUGCCCUUCACGAUUAUGGUAGACUUAAGUCUAUAUCCACUGAGGGUCUUAAGUAGAGACUGUGUUGGAGGGAACGGAUCGAACAUUGGGGUUUUCUCAAAAGAUUACAUGGGACUCCUCAGGUAAAACUGCCUGAGCCUCUCCUUCCUGACGCAGUGCACACCAGGUCUCAGGAAACAGCAGGUCUUAAUUAGCCCUCCAGUUUAUAGUUUCACCUGAAAAAAUACAUUUAAAAAAAAUCAUAUAUAGUUGGCUGUCGAGAUUUUUCAAGUCAAUAAAUUCUUGCUAAUUAAUCACAUUAACGGUACUCCUUAAAAGUUGAAACAGAAUCAGAAAACAAACCAAAAUCCCCAUAAAUAUCCUACAUAAAGGCCUAUUCACAGAUCCUUUUUCAGUUUGGAAGACUUUUACAAGUGUUUUUCCCUUCCUGACAGGACACACGCAUGCACAGGCACAUGCACGCACACACGCACACACACACACACACACACACACACACACACCUACUGUGUCACUCACCAUAGCUGUUACUAUCUGCACAGGAAGGUGGUUCUGGGAACAGAUUUUGAUACCUCAGGACAUCACCGUAAUUGCCUUAGUGCUUAAGUGUUCCUACUUGGGACUGGUUUAAAGGAUAAGAACUCAGAAACGUUGGGAGCAAAGUUACUUGUCUCAGAGUCCCCUCCCCAGAAAGAUAAUCAUAUGAAAAGAUGUUCAGCUGGGAACACAGAGGGGAUGGUGGAUGUCUUGCUUACCAUCUGCAAAAGGACCCUAAUUCUUAGCAUGUGCUUGCUCCUCUAAUAUUCUGUCUGAUGCCUUGAUCUGUAACAGAACACAAUGUCCCAAAGCAUUUAAAUCCACUUUAGAAACAUAGCCAAACAGAUCCAAAUUUCCACCUCUCUCCACGGUGUGUGUCCUGAGACUAAUGUUGCCAAUGGUCAUUAAAACGGCUUCUCCUGAGCUAGAGAGGUGGCCCCAUGGGUGCAAGCACAAGCUGCUCUUGCAGAGGAUCCAUGAACGGUUCCCAGCAGCCAAAUCCUACAGCUUAAUCCAGCUCCAGGUAGAUCUGCCUCAGCCUGCAUGUACCCUAUAGACAGACAAACAGACACACACACAUGAAAAUAACUUUCCAAACUUGUAAACCAUAGUUCUUCAAUUUUUUUUAUUUGUUUGUUUCCAUCGAGUGUGCUGUGAUUUAGAAUUCUUAGCUGGAGCUGCCCCACCCACCACGACAAUCUGAGACUUGGAAUCUGAACCUGGAGUUGGAAGCAGAACUUUAGAUCAGUGUGAUGCUCCUCCUGCACAGAGGCUUCUUGUGGUAGACGUCAGUCAACACUGAAACCCACAGCUCAUCAACACUCAGAGAAAAGGAGACCUUGAGACCCUGAAUCCUACGUGACAUGUUUAUAUUAUAUCCCUCAUUUCGAAGCUAACGUGUCUACAUAGAAGAGGAGGCAGAAAGAUUGUAAGAAUCAGAAGCAAUGGAUGGUUUCAAAGAAAGAAUGUCUUCCAGACAUAGCAGAGCAGAUGCACGUAUGACCUCACAGAGACUGUGGUAGCAUGCACAAGACCCGCACAAACUCAAGCUAGACAUAAUCUCGGCACACAGGAGGGUAGGCACGACAUCCCGUUUCCUGCUGCUGGGAGACAGACAGUGAACUGUCUUCCACAGGAUGGCCACACUCUGGACAAACCCCUCUCUCGUGACAGUAGCCAGCCAACACAACCUGGACUCCAUGGGUUUUAUUUUGUAUUUAUGGUGAGGGUCGGGGGAGAAAGCACAAGAAGUUAGUGUGAAGGAUCAAACCCAGGACCGUGUUCAGGCUAAGCAAGCAUCCAACCACUGCGCUACAUCAGAAGCCCUUUUUUUGUGACUGGCUCUCUCUAUGUAAAGCUGACCUUGAACUUCCUCUGUACUCCACAUUGACCUGGAAACUGUCCUCUCUCUACCUACAUAGUGCUUGGAUUAUAGCUGUGACCACCUCAGCAGGCGGAUUUAUUUAUUGACCUUUUAGUCUGGAGCCCUGGGAACCUGCCUCCUCCAGCACCUUCUUAAUCCUACUGUGGUUUCACACCAAUGUAAGAGUUUUGCUAAUGUUAUAUUCCUUCAAACUAAGUGGAAAACAACAUAGGAGAAGGCUCAAAACUUUGUUUCCAUUUCAAACCAGACAAAUACUUGUAUAUUUGAGAUUGCUUAAUGAAGGCACCAGCUGUCUAAAUCCAACCUAAAAUGUGACCAUUUAAAAUAUUUUUUAAAGAUGACAUUUGAAUUAGAAAAGAUUAAAGAACAUGUAAGAAAAAAGUCGAUAUUUAAAACCCACAAAUGUAUAACUGCCACGUCUAAAGCUAACAUGAAAGUAAGUUGUAAUGAUAUGCAUAAUUUUCAGUAACUAAAACU